rnacentral:rRNA from 1 species
AUUGAACGCUGGCGGCAUGCCUAACACAUGCAAGUCGAGCGGAGCGGCGGACGGGUGAGUAAGGCAUACGAAGCUGCCUGAUCGUGGGGGCUGGCGUCAGGAAACGGGAGCUAAUACAGCAUACUAUCAGAUGAGACUAGGUCGGAUUAGCUAGUUGGUGGGGUAAAGGCCUACGAAGGCGACGAUCCGUAACAGGCCUGAGAGGAUGAUCAGUCACACUGGAACUGAGACACGGUCCAGACUCCUACGGGAGGCAGCAGUGGGGAAUAUUGGACAAUGGGCGAAAGCCUGAGCCAGCCAUGCCGCGUGUGUGAAGAAGGUCUUCGGAUUGUAAAGCACUUUAAGUUGGGAGGCGUUACCAACAGAAUAAGCACCGGCUAACUUCGUGCCAGCAGCCGCGGUAAUAC